rnacentral:ncRNA from 1 species
GGGUCUGGGGGAGCUAUCUCCUAGAGGCAAACUGGAUGGUCGGGCCGCCAUCC